CUGUGCAUAUUUACUCAGGAGAAAUGAAAACAUAUGUCUCCAGAAAGAUUGGUACAUAAGUGUUCUUAGCAGUUUUCUUCACGAGAGCCCCAAACUGGAAACAGCCCGCACGUCCAUCAACAGGAGGAUAGAUAAAUAACCAUAGAUCCACGCGCAACCGAGUACUGUUUAGAAAUGAAAAGGAGUGGUUGCCUGGUGCACACGACAGUGGGAACAAAUCUCAGAAACGCACGCCAGGUGGAAGACAACAGGCACGUGUCCCUGCCGUACAACGCCAUUCAUGUGAACCACUAGGAGGGAACGAGAUCACGCAGGAGGCCGGGGAAUUCAUGAUCACAUUUCCCUACGGCUACCACGCCGGCUUCAAUCACGGGUUCAACUGCGCAGAAUCUACCAACUUCGCCACCCUGCGAUGGAUUGACUACGGCAAAGUGGCCACUCAGUGCACGUGCCGGAAGGACAUGGUCAAGAUCUCCAUGGACGUGUUCGUGCGCAUCCUGCAGCCCGAGCGCUACGAGCUGUGGAAGCAGGGCAAGGACCUCACGGUGCUGGACCA
rnacentral:sRNA from 1 species